GCGCCUGUUCACGGUCAGGUUAACCUACCGGCAGUGUGUUUGGCGGCAAGGGGUUGGGCGGGACUUGGGGAGAUCGACCACCGAGUCAAACGACCGGUCGAGUUUGCGCAGUGGACAAAGCGUAACCGCAGUGCAAACUUUUUCCAUGUCGAAGGGGCAAGUGACGCGACUCGUAACUGCGGUAGGUAGGACUCUGAAAAGACCACGGUGAAAUUCGACACGAAGAAUCCCUAAAAGGAACGAUAAUGCUCGCCGUGUCCAUUGUGGUAGAAUUCGUUUAUACGUCGAGGCACGUCAUCCACCAUCCAACCGUUGAAUGUCGAAAGUGUAACAAAUCACUUCCGUUUGGUCUACAAGGCUGUUAACUGUCGUUGAAGCUUGAAUCGAAAAAAGUUACGAGGUUUCGUGCACGAAGAAUAGCUGCCAUUAACAAUGGACUACCAGAAACGACCUAAGUAAGUAGACCUAAACUCGUGGAGUGCACAUUUGAAAUGUCUUGCAAUAUAUAUUUUUUAUAACGUUGCUUAAUGGGACUUGC